AAAGGGGUACUAAUACCGGAUAUUCUUGCAUUUCAUAAGGAGUGUAAGCAAAGGUGGCCUCUGUAUAUGCUACUGCUUGAUGAGGGGUCUGCGUACCAUUAGCUAGUAGGUGGGGUAAUGGCCCACCUAGGCUACGAUGGUUAGCGGGUCUGAGAGGAUGAUCCGCCACACUGGCACUGGAACACGGGCCAGACUCCUACGGGAGGCAGCAGUGAGGAAUAUUGCGCAAUGGGGGCAACCCUGACGCAGCGACGCCGCGUGAGUGAGGAAGGCCUUCGGGUCGUAAAGCUCUGUCAAAGGGAAAGAAAUGUAUAAUGGCUAAUACCUGUUAUAUUUGACGGUACCCCUUAAAGGAAGCACCGGCUAACUCCGUGCCAGCAGCCGCGGUAAUACGGAGGGUGCAAGCGUUGUUCGGAAUCACUGGGCGUAAAGGGCGCGCAGGCGGUUUGGUAAGUCAGAUGUGAAAGCCCACGGCUUAACCGUGGAAGUGCAUUUGAAACUGCCAGACUUGAGUACCAGAGGGG
rnacentral:rRNA from 1 species